UCCGAUAUAGUGUAAUGGCUAUCACACGACACUCUCCAUGUUGUGAUCCGGGUUCGAUUCCCGGUAUCGGAG
rfam:Candida albicans SC5314 chromosome 2 sequence.